rnacentral:rRNA from 1 species
GACAGAGGGUGCAAACGUUGUUCGGAAUUACUGGGCGUAAAGCGUGUGUAGGCGGCUAGGUAAGUCGGAUGUGAAAGCCCCGGGCUCAACUCGGGAAGUGCACUCGAUACUGCUUAGCUCGAGUACCGGAGAGGUUGGUGGAAUUCUCGGUGUAGAGGUGAAAUUCGUAGAUAUCGAGAGGAACACCGGUGGCGAAGGCGGCCAACUGGACGAGUACUGACGCUGGAGACACGAAAGCGUGGGGAGCAAACAGG